UACGUAGGGUGCAAGCGUUAAUCGGAAUUACUGGGCGUAAAGCGUGCGCAGGCGGCUUUGCAAGACAGAUGUGAAAUCCCCGGGCUUAACCUGGGAACUGCAUUUGUGACUGUAGAGCUGGAGUGCGGCAGAGGGGAUGGAAUUCCGCGUGUAGCAGUGAAAUGCGUAGAUAUGCGGAGGAACACCGAUGGCGAAGGCAAUCCCCUGGGCCUGCACUGACGCUCAUGCACGAAAGCGUGGGGAGCAAACAGG
rnacentral:rRNA from 1 species